UACGUAGGGGGCAAGCGUUGUCCGGAAUCAUUGGGCGUAAAGCGCGUGUAGGCGGCCAUGUAAGUCCGUUCUGAAAGCCCGGGGCUCAACCCCGGGAGGCGGAUGGAUACUGCAUGGCUCGAGUACGGAAGAGGCGAGUGGAAUUCCCGGUGUAGCGGUGAAAUGCGCAGAUAUCGGGAGGAACACCAAUGGCGAAGGCAGCUCGCUGGGACGUUACUGACGCUGAGGCACGAAAGCGUGGGGAGCAAACAGG
rnacentral:rRNA from 1 species